UGGGAAAGAGCCGACAGGGAUUAUUGCA
rnacentral:piRNA from 1 species